AAUAUGCAUCCUAUGCUCCAAAUAUCAAUUGCAGGGGUGUAUUUAGAGAAAAAAGAGCCACAAAGUUCAGGAGCUCGAUACCACCUUGUUGCUACAUAGUCAGUCCAAAAAAUAGCUGAUGGGGCAUCAUUAAAAGAUACUCGAGCAAGACCAAAAUCACAUAUCUUCAGUUUGCAAUCGGCAUUAGCAAGAAUGUUUUUUGGCUUUAAAUCUCGAUGAAACACACCAGCUGUAUGUAUAUAUUUCAGACCACGAAGAAGCUGGUACAAGAAAAACUGAUAAUGC
rnacentral:misc_RNA from 1 species